rnacentral:snRNA from 1 species
GUGCUUGCUUUGCAGCACAGAACGCUAAAAUUGGAACGGUGCAGAGAUUAGACAUGGCCCCUGUACAAGACGACACACAAUUCCAUGAAGCAUAAAAAAGAAAG